rnacentral:rRNA from 1 species
AUUGAACGCUGGCGGAAUGCUUUACACAUGCAAGUCGAACGGCAGCACGGACUUCGGUCUGGUGGCGAGUGGCGAACGGGUGAGUAAUGUAUCGGAACGUGCCCAGUCGUGGGGGAUAACGUAGUGAAAAUUACGCUAAUACCGCAUACGAUCUAUGGAUGAAAGCGGGGGAUCGCAAGACCUCGCGCGAUUGGAGCGGCCGAUAUCAGAUUAGGUAGUUGGUGGGGUAAGGGCCCACCAAGCCAACGAUCUGUAGCUGGUCUGAGAGGACGACCAGCCACACUGGAACUGAGACACGGUCCAGACUCCUACGGGAGGCAGCAGUGGGGAAUUUUGGACAAUGGGCGAAAGCCUGAUCCAGCCAUUCCGCGUGCAGGAUGAGGGCCCUCGGGUUGUAAACUGCUUUUGUACAGAACGAAAAGGUUUCUACUAAUACUAGGAGCUCAUGACGGUACUGUAAGAGUAAGCACCGGCUAACUACGUGCCAGCAGCCGCCGUAA